rnacentral:rRNA from 1 species
CGGUAAUACGGAGGAUCCAAGCGUUAUCCGGAAUCAUUGGGUUUAAAGGGUCCGUAAGCGGUCAGAUAAGUCAGUGGUGAAAGCCCAUCGCUCAACGGUGGAACGGCCAUUGAUACUGUCUGACUUGAAUUAUUAGGAAGUAACUAGAAUAUGUAGUGUAGCGGUGAAAUGCUUAGAGAUUACAUGGAAUACCAAUUGCGAAGGCAGGUUACUACUAAUGGAUUGACGCUGAUGGACGAAAGCGUGGGUAGCGAACAGGAUUAGAUACCCUGGUAGUCCACGCCGUAAACGAUGGAUACUAGCCGUUGGGAGCAAUCUCAGUGGCUAAGCGAAAGUGAUAAGUAUCCCACCUGGGGAGUACGAACGCAAGUUUGAA